rnacentral:rRNA from 1 species
CCUACGGGAGGCAGCAGUGGGGAAUAUUGGACAAUGGGCGAAAGCCUGAUCCAGCAAUGCCGCGUGAGUGAUGAAGGCCUUAGGGUUGUAAAGCUCUUUUACCAGGGAUGAUAAUGACAGUACCUGGAGAAUAAGCUCCGGCUAACUCCGUGCCAGCAGCCGCGGUAAUACGGAGGGAGCUAGCGUUGUUCGGAAUUACUGGGCGUAAAGAGUACGUAGGCGGUGAUUCAAGUCAGAGGUGAAAGCCUGGAGCUCAACUCCAGAACUGCCUUUGAAACUAGAUCGCUAGAAUCAUGGAGAGGUUAGUGGAAUUCCGAGUGUAGAGGUGAAAUUCGUAGAUAUUCGGAAGAACACCAGUGGCGAAGGCGACUAACUGGACAUGUAUUGACGCUGAGGUACGAAAGCGUGGGGAGCAAACAGGAUUAGAUACCCUGGUAGUCCACGCCGUAAACGAUGAUAACUAGCUGUUCGGGGUCUACGAUCCUGAGUGGCGCNGCUACGACAUAAGUUAUCCGUCCGUCGGGAGGUACGGUCGCGACGAAUUAAACUUAAACUUAAGUAAGUUAGUACGGCGUGAGACGUGCCGACGGACGACGACGAGGGAGGUUAGG